UUGACCUCAAAUCAGGUAGGACUACCCGCUGAACUUAAGCAUAUCAAUAAGCGGAGGAAAAGAAACUAACAAGGAUUCCCCUAGUAACUGCGAGUGAAGCGGGAAAAGCUCAAAUUUAAAAUCUGGCAGUCUCUGAUUGUCCGA
rnacentral:rRNA from 1 species